AAGUCGUAACAAGGUUUCCGUAGGUAGAGUUUGCCUACCGAGCCUAGGCAGCGACCCUAAAUAACUGCCUCAGUCGCCCUGAAACACGGGCAGGCAACGCUAUUAAUCUGCGCUGGAAGACCUUUUCAUAGGUGAACCAGAAGCUCCAGAGACCUCUGGAGUUCACAGAUCAAACGAUGGCGGCCAUUUUGGUGGUUAAGAUAUGAUCGGCCUCUGCGCUGCCCCCUAGCCAGAGAUUAGUGGAACCUGCGGAAGGAUCAUUAUCGAGAGAGGGGCUUCGCGCUCCCGGGGGCUUCGGCCCCUACCUCUUCACCCAUUGCUAAUUUACACUUGUUGCUUUGGCGGAUCGCGGGGUACCCCUCGCGCCGAUCUACCGGUCGGCGAGCGUCCGCCAGAGGCUUAUUAAAUUCUGUUUAUUAGUGACGUCCGAGUUCAAAAUAAAUAAUAAAAACUUUCAACAACGGAUCUCUUGGUUCCAGCAUCGAUGAAGAACGCAGCGAAAUGCGAUAAGUAAUGUGAAUUGCAGAAUUCAGUGAAUCAUCGAAUCUUUGAACGCACAUUGCGCCCCCUGGUAUUCCGGGGGGCAUACCUGUUCGAGCGUCAUUGCACCCCUCAAGCGUAGCUUGGUAUUGGGCUCUCGCCCCCGCGGCGUGCCCGAAAAGCAGUGGCGGUCCGGUGUGACUUUAAGCGUAGUAAAUUUCUCCCGCUUUGAAAGUUCGCGCCGUGGCUUGCCAGACAACCCUAUAUACUCCAAUAAUUGACCUCGGAUC
rnacentral:rRNA from 1 species